rnacentral:rRNA from 1 species
ACACCGGCAGCUCUAGUGGUAGCCAUUUUUAUUGGGCCUAAAGCGUUCGUAGCCGGUUUGAUAAGUCUCUGGUGAAAUCCUAUAGCUUAACUGUGGGACUUGCUGGAGAUACUAUUAGACUUGAGGUCGGGAGAGGUUAGCGGUACUCCCAGGGUAGGGGUGAAAUCCUGUAAUCCUGGGAGGACCACCUGUGGCGAAGGCGGCUAACUGGAACGAACCUGACGGUGAGGGACGAAAGCCAGGGGCGCGAACCGGAUUAGAUACCCGGGUAGUCCUGGCCGUAAACGAUGUGGACUUGGUGUUGGAAUGGCUUCGAGCUGCUCCAGUGCCGAAGGGAAGCUGUUAAGUCCACCGCCUGGGAAGUACGGUCGCAAGACUGAA